UACGAAGGGGGCUAGCGUUGCUCGGAAUCACUGGGCGUAAAGGGUGCGUAGGCGGGUCUUUAAGUCAGGGGUGAAAGCCCCCAGCUCAACUGGGGAAGUGCCUCGGAUACUGGUCGCCUCGAGGGAGAUAGGGGCGUGCGGAACUUCCGGUGGAGCGGUGAAAUGCGUAGAUGUCGGAAGGAACACCGGUGGCGAAAGCGGCGCGCUGGAUCUCUUCUGACGCUGAGGCGCGAAAGCCAGGGGAGCGAACGGG
rnacentral:rRNA from 1 species